CCCUCUUUUUUGCUGCUCUCUUCUCCAGCCGAGAGUGAGAGGGUAAUUUCACCUUUUUAGUUCUUUUGGCUGCCAGAUUCUCAAGGAAGAAGAAUUCAAUAUCCGGUUGAAUUUGCUUGUGUCGAUUAGGACAAGUCAAAUUCUUUCCUUCGUGUCCACUAGAGAUAAGGAAGAGAAGGACAAGGUGGCUACGGUGCAAGUCACAGUCGGAGUUGAACAUCAACAAAUUGUGUUGAGGUGGUGUAAGGUUGACUAGCUGAGUUUUGAGUUGCAGUUCUAUUUUGUGGACUAGUGAAGAGGAGUCUAGACGUAUAUCUUUUGGGUGAGCUGCCAAUGUAUUUUGUAUAGUUAGUCUUAGUCUGUAAAUGAUCAUUUUGUUGCGUUGUAAAUUAAGAAGACGUAGGCCACAAUGGGUUAGCGUCUCUACUUACCUAGGCAAUGAAAACCAUGCAACAUUUGAUCACAUGUCUUUUGGUUUGUAUAAUUUUUGCUCAUUUGUAUUUUUCAUCAAAUGACCUGAACAUGUUUUUCUGGUAAGAAGCCUCAAAGUUUCUUUUAUGAACUAGUUAAAAUCUAUGAGGUUUGAUGUGUUACAUUUUUUUUUUUUUUGGUAAACAUGAAAUUUGUUAGGUUUGAUGUGUUACAUUUUGAGAACCAUGAAUUUGGUUACCAUUCGAACUUGUGGCUGAU